GAUGAAGAACGUAGCGAAAUGCGAUAAGUAAUGUGAAUUGCAGAAUUCAGUGAAUCAUCGAAUCUUUGAACGCGCAUUGCGCCCGCCAGUAUUCUGGCGGGCAUGCCUGUUCGAGCGUCAUUUCAACCAUCAAGCCCCCGGCUUGUGUUGGGGACCUGCGGCUGCCGCAGGCCCUGAAAACCAGUGGCGGGCUCGCUAGUCACUCCGAGCGUAGUAAUACAUCUCGCUCAGGGCGUGCUGCGGGUUCCGGCCGUUAAAAAAGCCUUAUUUACCCAAGGUUGACCUCGGAUCAGGUAGGAAGACCCGCUGAACUUAAGCAUAUCAAUAAGCGGAGGA
rnacentral:misc_RNA from 1 species